AAGAAGAAGAAGAAGAAGAAGAAAUCGAGACUAGUUUUUAUAGGAAAUUUGUGUCACCGAUGCCAGAUAACAGUAAUAAUAACAAUAGUAAUAGGCAGGUUAAGAGCAAUGCUUUGCCAAAUCAAUCUCCUGAUAAUAUUGAAGGUACCACCGUAUUUUUCUUAAUUUUUUUUAGAGCACGGAAGAUCUGCUUUGUUUUUGUAUUUUUCCUAUUAAAUAAUUUUGGGAGUAUGUUUAAUUUAGUGAUUGUUGAAUUAGAUGAUCCCGGUUGUUUUGUUUCGUUUGUUAUUGUUAUCAAAUAUGACAAUGCAUAUUGUUGUUUAAUUGCUUUGAUUUUAGAAGGCUAGGAGGUGUUGUUAUUGUUAAUUUUUUUUAAUAAUUUGUUUUUUGUUUGUGAUGAAUGUCAUAUACUUGCUGUUUGAUUAAAAUUUGUAGUUUGUUUGAAUUGUGCGUAUCAAAUUAUGACAGAACCGUAGCGCUUUGUUGCUUGGUAUGUGCCUGCCGCAUGUGGGUUUAUGGUUUUGAGAGCUUCUAUGCUGUGCCUUUCAAUGAUUGUGGGGAUUCUGGUUUGUUGUUGCAAUCAAAUUCUAUGAUCUGUUUUCUGUUCUCUUGAAUGGAGUUGUUAGAACUUUUCUGAUGUAUGCUUACAUAUGGGUUUUCUGUUUUGAUCAAUGACUUGAUGGUUAUAUAAGCUUUAAGAAAUUUGAACUUUAUUUUUUCGAGCUUUAUUUGCACAUGGCAGAUGCAAUUUGGCGGUUGAAAAUCCACGAUAACCAAGAGCAAGGUGGUAUGGCUCCAUCAAGUACAUACCCAGAUCGUCCUGGUGAACCAGAUUGCGUGUAUUAUCUAAGGACUGGAUUAUGUGGUUAUGGAAGUAACUGUCGUUUUAAUCAUCCUCCUGCUGCGCAGGGUACUCAAUUUAGAGAGGAACUUCCGGAAAGAGCUGGACAACCUGACUGUGGGUACUAUUUAAAGACAGGGACUUGCAAAUAUGGUUCAACAUGUAAAUAUCAUCAUCCAAGGGACAGGAAUGGUGCAGGGCCUGUCUCAUUUAACAUUCUUGGUCUUCCUAUGCGCCAGGAUGAAAAAUCAUGUCCUUAUUACUUGCGAACUGGAUCAUGUAAAUUUGGAGUUGCAUGUAAGUUUCACCAUCCCCAGCCUGCACCACUUGGAGCUGGGUUGCCUUUGACUGAACCUGCUGGAUCUGGGCCCAUGGGAUCAUCAACUGCACCUUCAUCAGGCCUGCCUUAUGUAGGUGGACUUCCAACUUGGUCAUUAGUAAGAGCACCAUAUGUGUCUGGCCCUCGUCUGCAGGGUCCACAGGCAUAUAUGCCUGUUGUUCUUUCUCCUACUCAGGGUGUUUUUCCAGCACAAGGCUGGAACACCUAUGUGGUAAGUAAAUGAUCUCUAAAGUUUUGUUUUUUCCAUAAAUAGUCAGUUGAAUUUACAUAAAUGUGAUGUGCUUGUAGGGAUGAUUCAUGGUUGUAUUAUCCUUUCACUAAAGUUGAUUGAAAUUGUGAGUGGGAUUUAUUCAUGAUAAACUUAAAUUCUCUUCAAGUACCAGAACACACAUGCACACACAAACACCUGUAGUCUUUUGAUUGAAUUUAAGUCAACUGUGGAAUUUAAGAUGAGUGAAUUGGUGGUUGGAUGCUCUUAAUUUGUGGAAAUUUCAGACAAAUAAUUAUUAUGGAGACAAUUACGUAAUGUGUUUGAAAUCAGUAAAAAUUAUUCCCCUUACUGUUGUUUGACCUUCACAUUUCUGUUUUAUGGGUCUGUAUGAUUGCAUUUUUAGGUUCUUGCUAUGCUAAGGACAUGACUUUGUUAGGAGACUGCUGUUGUUAGGGUGUAAUGAUUGAACCUUUUGGGUGCUUCUUACUGGACAAUGCAAACCCAAAAUCUAUUUCCAUAAAUAAGCUUGCUGUUUUAGGUGCUUCAGCUUUAAGUUGUCCUUGUAUUGUGAAGAAAGUUAUUUAUUGACACAUUGAUAUCCUACAUCAAUAUGGCCUCUUUCAAGAUGUGUGGUUUUGCCAGGCAAUUUCUGUUGUGGGGGAGUGUAGAGGUUGGGGUGAAGGUCAAAUGCAAAUUGUGUCGUUUAUAGAAUGAAUGUAAUCCUAAAAGUACAAAGGACUUGGAAAGUUGAUAUGCUUUCUAUUUAUUGAAUUUAACUUCUUUCAGUUGGUAAGUAGCAACAGAAGGUAAGUAUUUUAAUUAUGUAAAAAUGAGGUAAUGCAUUAUCUGGUGAUUGGUGGUACCAUGCUUGGUAAAUUACUUACAUGUGAUAUAGAAUUAGGGAAAGAGAAAACAGAAAACAAGAGAAGCACUUUUUAAAAACUAAAGUUUCGAUCAAUCAUUCAAUAAUGGCCAAGUUCCAAUUGCUAACUAGGAUGUUUUGUGUAGGCAUCAAAGCAAUUAAAAAUUAGAAAACCUAAAUCAAACAGGAUUGGGGAAAUAUUUCUAGAACACCUAAUAUCUGUAAAUUUAAAAACUCGAAAUAAAACUCAAGUAAUAAAAUUUUCUAGAACAUCUAAAUAAUAAAAAUUAAUAAUUAAGUGGAAAAAUUUCUCAAAUUUCCUUUCCUUGUUUGCAUUAGCAUCUUAAUAAAAAAUUGUAAGUUGAUGCAGUUACAUUUUAGGUAUGAUUCCAGGCAUGCACACAUAUAGUGUCAUCUGGCAAUGUUGACUACACAUACAAGAAAUCGUUUGAUUGGAACUUCUUUUAUUAUUUAUUAUUUGAUUUUUUUUAACUUUCAUUUUUGUAGAAUUUUUUUUUAAUUACAUUUUGUUGGCAAAGGCCUUCCCCCCCAACGUCAUGCUCUUAUUUGUCAAUCAGGGAAACUUGAGCCCCUUGUCUUCUGCCAGUGUUCUCGGAUCCAGUCUUGUUUACAACUCCAGGGAUCAAGGUGAGUCAGGAUCUAGUGGGCAAAUUCAUUUGCUAUCAACAACCACCUCUCAUCUUCCUGAGAGACCUGAUCAACCAGAAUGUCGGUAUUUUAUGAACACUGGGACCUGCAAAUACGGAUCUGACUGCAAGUACCAUCACCCAAAAGAAAGAAUUGCACAAAUAGCAACAAAUCCUGUUGGCCCAGCUGGUCUUCCCUCAAGACCUGUAAGUUUCAGAUUUAUUUUGUCUUCUGUAACAUAUGCUCUGGUUUGCACAUAAGUUUUGGAAUUUACUUGAAGAUAUUAUGAAUGAUGAAAGAAUCGCUAAUGGCAAUUGCCAGAGUGCAACUAUUAGAAUUUUGAUUGUGCAUAUAGUGCACAUGCUAGACUACUGCACAUGCAUUGCAUAUAUGGUCCGGGUGUCUUAAAUACCCAUGGCAUUGUUUUAAAUAAUGAUAGGGAAAGAGUGAACAUUACUGUUUCAUGUAAUUCUGGUCCUAUUUCAAUGACACCAACAUUCAUGGCUUGUUUUGCUAUGAUUUCAAAAUACAUCUAGUUUUGCUUGGAAAUUAGUGAAGAUUUUGCUAUGAUUUAUUGCUUGUUUACUUGCAGGGGCAACCUAUAUGUUCAAAUUACAGUAUGUAUGGAAUUUGCAAAUUUGGUCCAACUUGUAGAUUUGAUCACCCUUUCCCUGGAUAUCCUUAUAGCUACAGUUUGAGCUUGCAGCCUGUAUCUAUAUUUGAUUCCUCUCUCUUAACUUAUCCAAGAAUGUCGCCUCCAGCUCUUUCAUCUGAAAGUCCUGUCUCCUUAUCAUCCAAAUUCCCUGAUUGGGUCCAGAAUCCUGAUGGUGCAAGCAACAAGCAUCCAAAUUCAGAUACAAAUAUAAAGAUUUCUGAUGACCAGCCUGAGCAGGCCGGUUCUCCACCGCCACACUCCUCACAGGAUUCUUCAGAACCAUCACAUGAUUAAUUUUGAACUGGUUGAGAUUACUUCUUUCUGUUUUGUUGAUACUUUUUUACAUUGGUACCCUAAAAGGAGAUUUUUGUGACACGUACCUCCUGGCCCCCCUUUUCACCUGUGGUUCUGCAGAGUGUGAUAGGUUGUUUUGAAAUCAAAUAUGAGAAGCAAAAUCUGGGGGCACUGGAAGGCAUUUUUUUGUUGUGAAUAAAAUGCAGGUGAAAAUUUGUAAUAUUCCUUCCUUGAAUGUUCUCUCUUUGCUUGAAUGAUAUCCAUUUGUGGUGAUAAAGAUUUUGGUAGAAUAUUAUGAUUUUUGUUUGCAAAAUGCUCAAGCUUUUGCCUUUUACAUGACACAAUUGAAACGUUUGUUGUAUGAAAUAAUUUAGUUACUGCCACUUAAUAUAAUUCCU
rnacentral:misc_RNA from 1 species